AUGUGGCCCCAACCCUACCUCCCUCCCCACCCCAUGAUGUUAGAAGAAACUCAAUAGAACAAAUUGGCAGCAGCCAAGAAAAAGCUAAAAGAAUAUCAGCAAAGGAAGAGCCCUGGUGUUCCAGCAGGAGCGAAAAGAAAAAAGAAAAAAAACUGGCAGUAGCCCUGAGAUUGUCUCAGCUUGCCACUCACCUGGGGAUAGCCAGUACCAAGAACUAGCAGUAGCCCUGAAGUCAAGCUCCGUGACAAUCAAUCAACUCAAUGAAAACAUAGAAUCAUUGAAACAGCAGAAGAAAGAAGUGGAACAUCAGCUGGAAGAAGCAAAGAAAGCAAACAAUGAAAUACACAAAGCACAAACAGAGCAGUUAGAGACAAUCAACAUCCUCAAGUUGGAAAAGGCAGACUUGAAGACCACCCUUUACCAUACUAAACGUGCUGCCCGACACUUUGAAGAAGAGUCCAAGGAUCUGGCUGGCCACCUGCAAUACUCCUUACAGCGUAUUCAAGAAUUGGAGCGGGCUCUCUCUGCUGUGUCUACACAGCAGCAGGAAGAAGACAGGUCCUCGAGCUGCAGUGAAGCGGUUCUCCAGUGGCGGUUACAGCAGACCAUAAAGGAGCGGGCGCUGCUGAACGCCCACGUAACACAGGUGACAGAGUCACUUAAACAAGUCCAUCUAGAGAGAGAUGAAUAUGCUCAGCAUAUAAAAGGAGAGAGGGCCCGGUGGCAGGAGAGGAUACAGAAAAUGUCGGUGGAGGCUCGCACAUUGAAGGAGGAGAAGAAGCGUGACAUACAUCAGAUAUAGGAGCUGGAGAGGAGCUUGUCCGAACUCAAAAACCAGAUGGCUGAGCCCCCAUCCCUGGCGCCCCUGGCAGUGACCUCUGUGGUGGAGCAGCUACAAGAUGAGGCCAAACACCUAAGGCAGGAGGUGGAGGGUCUGGAGGGAAAGCUCCGAUCCCAGGUGGAAAACAAUCAGGCCUUGAGUCUGCUGAGCAAGGAACAAAAGCAGAGGCUCCAGGAGCAGGAGAAGAGCCUCCGAGAGCAGGAGAGACUGUGUGAACAAAAGGAGACGCUACGGGAGCAGGGUGAGAGGCUGCGAAAGCAGGAGCAGAGGCUACACAAGCAGGAGGAGAGGCUGCGAAAGGAGGAGGAGAGGCUGCGAAAGGAGGAGGAGAGGCUGCGAAAGGAGGAGGAGAGGCUGUGAAAGCAGGAGAAGAGGCUGUGGGACCAGGAAGAGAGGCUGUGGGAGAAGGACGAGAGGCUACAGAAGCAGGAGGAGAGGCCGUGAAAGCAGGAGGAGAGACUCACGCUCUCCCAGAACCACAAGCUCAACAAGCAGCUGGCGGAGCCAUAGUGCAGCUUCGAGCAUCUGAACAAUGAGAACAAGAGCACACUGCAGUUGGAGCAGCAAGUAAAGGAGCUGCAGGAGAAGCUAGACAAGGAGCACCUAAAAGCUGCCAGCCAGCAGAACCAACAGCUGGAGACCCAGUUGAGCCUCAUGGCUCUCCCUGGAGAAGGAGAUGGAGGAGAACAUCUGGACAGUGAGGAGGAGGAGGCGCCUCAGCCCACGCCAAACAUCCCAGAGGACCUGGAGAGCCAGGAGGCCACGAGCAGCUUUAUGGACCUCCCGAAGGAGAAGGCAGACGGGAAGGAGCAGGUGGAGAAACUAGAGCUUGGAUUCAUCCAGCCCUCUGGAGCGACAGAUGGCAUAAGAGAGUCCUUCACCGUAUAUGAAAGCCAGGGGGCAGUGCCAAACACGUGGCACCAGGAGAUGGAGGAUGUCAUCAGGCUGGCCCAGAACGAGGAGAUGAAGGUGAAGCUGCUGGAGCUGCAAGAGCUGGUGUUGCCCCUUGUGGGCAAUCAUGAAGGGCAUGGCAAAUUCCUCACCGCUGCCCAGAACACUGCUGAUGAGCCCGCUCCAGGUGCCCCAGCCCCCCAGGAACUUGGGGCUGCCGGUGAGCAUGAUGAUUUUUAUGAGGUGAGCCUGGACAACAGCGUGAAGCCUGCACCAGGAGCGGCCAGGGAGGGUUCUCCCGAUGACAACCCCACUGCACAGCAGAUCGUGCAGCUGCUUCCUGUAAUGCAGGACACCCAGGAGCACCCAGGCUUGCCCAGCAAACCCUGCGUGCCAUUCUUUUACCAGGCAGCUGAGAACAGGGAGAUAAACAUCAUCAUCAUCUAAGAGCUGGUCAAGAAAUUUAAAACAACAACAACAAAAAGUUAUGGGGUUAAUCUCCUACACAAUUCAUUUACUCCAUUUGAAUGUUAGAGCCACUCACAUUUAUUUGUGUUUCUAAUUUACCGUUUAAAUUUAUUUGUAAAAAGUUAAGGGAGAGUUGGUCUUUCCCUGAUGUUCACUCUGGCAUCCUUUAGCAUUUUUGUUUUUAAUUUGAUAAUUGUAGGUCAUUAGCAUACAUAUCGAGUUUGCCCUUAGGUGGUGGGAAUUCAAACACACAAAGACCCACUAUUUGCACAAAACUAUUCUUACUGGUUUGGAACAGGCUGCCAUGCUUUUUUAAUGUUAUUGCAGCAUGUAUAUUCAUUACAGAAUUCAGAUAAAAUUUGCUUAUGUUCUGCUAUUACGUUUGAUCGAAUCCUAACCACAGUGAGCUCUUCAUUAGCUCAAUAUGUGGUUUGCCCUCAAAUGCGCACUGUUUAUUACUUUGUAAUAUGCCACUGUGAGUACUGACAUUUACAGUUGUUUAAAGGCCGAGAACUGGAAACAGCCUUUCCCCUAUUUUGUGUGUAUUGGGGAUGGGAGUAAUAACAUUUUGGGGAGCUUUUUAAAUCUCACAGAAGAGGAAAGUGGCCUGCUCUGGCAGGUGUGUGCAGGAUAGAGUGUGUUUCAUUUGUUCUGGUGCCAAGAAUGAGCGCUGUACUAUGGUAGUUCCCUUAGGAUUUGUAUGUGCUCUGGGAUCUUGAAGAUAUUGCAUCAUGAGCUGUAGCAGUUGUACCCUUUCUUGAUGACCUAAAAAGGGAUUAUUUCUGAGGAAUGAAAUGCUCCCAUCAUUGACUGUGGGUGGAUGUGGAAAACCUUUUCUAGCUUAGAGCAUUUAUAUCUAC